UGUCAACAAAAAGUGAAAAUUCAUCUUAGUUAUCAUCAUAGUAAUACAAGGGCUAGGAAACACAUUAAAACCUGGGGCAGCUAGAUGGCACAGUGGAUAGAGCACCAGUCCUGAAAUCAGGAGGACCUGAGUUCAAAUCUGACCUGAUACUAAACACUUCCUAGCUGUGUGACUGUGGAUAAGUCACUUCACCAUAAUUGCUGCAGGGGGAAAAAAACAAAACCAAAAACAAACAACCAACCACACAUUGAGACCUAAAAUCACAAAAUUCAUAAUAGAAAGUAUGGAAAGAUUAGAUGGAAUCCUUUUGGCAGACAGAUUUAACUUAAUCCCAGUACUCUCUCCUACUCAUGCACAUUUAUUUGUUUUCAUAUGUUUCAACUGAUUUCCAUUCAAGUUUUAAUAUAUUGUUAUCCUUUUGGUAUGAUUUACAAAAAAGAGAAAUUAUAGCAACAAUAUAAAUGUAAAGAACAAUCACAAAAAUUAAUCUGAGGGCUAUGCAAUUAUCACUAUCAAGGUUGGAACUGGUAGUAAUGAUGAAGAGAAAAUGCACCAUCCUCUUUCAAAAAGAUAAAAUUCCAUGAGGAUGAAUAUAAACAUAAAAGCUAAAUGUAAAUUUGGGUUCACAAAUACAGAAUGGGGAAGAGAUGGUUAGACAACAGUUAUGAAAAAGAUUUUGGCAUUUUACUGGACUGCAAAUCUUAAUGAACCAGCAGUUUGAUAUGGUAGCCAAAAAGGCAAAUGUAAUCUUGCACAUUAAAAAAAAAAAAAAAAAAAAAAAAAAAAAAGAAGCCUAGUGUCAGGAAUAAUGAGAUAUCUUUAUAUUCUACCCUUGUCUUCUCAUUUGGAUUAGUAGGUUCAGAUGUAAGUAGUACAGCUUAAGACUGAUAAACUGGAGAGCUCUCAGAACAGAGUUACCAAAAUAAUAAAGGGUGGAGUCCAUUCUAUAUGAGAAUCUGUUAAGCAAACUAGGAAUAGCCUGUGGAAAGAGAAAACUCAGGGAGUAUAUAAGAGUUGUGUUCAAAUAUUUGAAGGACAUCACUUGUAGGAAUUAAGUCUGACCUCAGAGGGCAUAAUUAGGAACAAUAAUUGAAGAGACAAAUUUAGGUCUGUCAUAAGGAAAAAUUUCUAGACAAUGUUAUCCAAAAGUGGAAAAGACUAGACUUCCAGGAGAAGAUGGGACCACUUGACUGAUAUUUUCUAGUUCAUAUUUUUUCCAAAUAUAGUGUAACUUUCAACUCUCAAAUUCUAUGAUUCAGAUCCUUGCUGAGGUGAAAGACUAUAGAUUAAUACAUAGUCUUUCAAUUUUAGUUUAUUUUUUUUUAAAGUUUUCUCCUUUUUAAAUCUUUGUUACAAAAGAUUUAUCACUGGGAAGGGAGGAACAGAGGUCUAUUUGGAAAUGAAGACGAAGAAACAAAAGACAGCAAUAACUUUUAAAAACUAUGUAAAUAUUUUCAAGAAAUAAAUGAACUUGGGAAAUUUAUUUGCUAAUUAUCUUUACAGAUAACAGAAAUACUAUAUAUAUAAAAUACCAAGGAUUUUUGCACAAUUUAACUGUUAGAUGACUAUGAAGUAUCUUUGGGGGGGAGGGGGGGAGCUGAGGCAAUUGGGGUUAAAUGACUUGCCCAGGGUCACACAAUUAGGAAGUACUAAGUAUCUGAGGUUGAUUUGAACUCAGUCCUCCUAACUUCAUGGCUAGUGCUCUAUCUACUGCGCCACCUAGCUGUGCCACCUAGCUGCCCCACCCAUAAAGUAUCUUAAAGACAAAAUGCUAAGAAAAAUAAGAGCUUAUUAUUAUUGUUGCUGUUACUCUGAAGUUUUAAAAGUUGAAGUCCUAUAACUGUUUUGCCCUAUACACAGUACUGUGCCAGUCAAUAUAUAAGAUGAACAUAAAACCAGUUCUUUAUAACUAUAUUGCUUCUUUGCACUAAUUAGCAGAAGAUCCUAUGGAAAGGGCAAAGUUCCAUAUGAAAAAUGUAGCAAAACACAAUUUAAAUUUAAUGUAAAGCUAUCAAUCCACAGAAUGGAUAGGAAAAUAAAAUUUGCAUUUAAUAAUAAUAAGAGCUCAGUUAUAUAGAACGUAUGUGCCAAGCACUAUGCAAAAAUGAGAUACUGAACAAGCUAAUAUUUGAAGCCAUUGCUUCUUACUUUCUCUAUUCCCUUUUCCUUUUUCACUCCUCUCCCCAAACUAAUAAGAGGAGGUAAAAUAGUUUUUAAAAUUGUUAUUUGUUAAAUUUCUUGGAAAUUAAAUGAAUUUAGAAUUCUGAUUUAUCCAUGAUAAUGCAAAGAUUACUAAAUUGGGAGUCACAAAACUUCUGUGUUGGUCCUGAUUCUAACAUUAAGUUCUUAGCCUUGGGACAAACUAUUUCAGUAUUUCUCAUUUGUUUUUUAAAAAUGAGUUGUACCAGGUAAAAAAUAUCUUUCAAUUUUGUUAUUUGUUUCAUAACCAAAUGCACAAGAUUUUUAAAAGACAUUACAACUCUACACAAUUAUUCUCUUAAGCAUGUCUUAACAAAAAUAAAGGCAGUAUUCAACUAACAAAAAUCACUACAUCACUACCCUCUCAACCUUCUUAAUUCUCUCAAAACUCCCCUAAAAUUGUGUUCUUUAGACUACUUUAAAUGCCACCAUUUGGAGAUUUAUUUAAAUUAACAAGUCUCCUUGACAAUGCUUGCUCAGUAAGGGCAGGAACUGUUGUAGCUUUUUUUUUAAACAUCCCAAGAAUUAGCACCUUACCAGAAAACUUGGUUCAUAAUAACAAUUUAAUAAAAGUUUUUGUUGAUUGAUUGAUUUUUGAGGAUUGGUUCAAACAGAUUUUUUUUCCUAAUAUCUAAGUCAGUUGAUAGAAUUUGAAGUUAUGAAGAAGAGGGGAGAUUAGAAAAAGGCAGGACCUUCAUUUUCCUUCUUCUAUAAGGAGAUUAAAAAAAAGAUAAGUUAAUUUUCAAGAAUGGAAUAUUUGCAGUAAGGCAGCACAAAUAAAUGUUGAUUUUUUUUUUCCCUAGUGCAAUUUUUUAAAAUAAUUGAAUAUUUUUAUUUUACCCAGUUACAAAUAACACAAAAUUUUUUAACAUCUGUUCUUAAAAUUUUGAAUUCCAAAUUCUCCUUCUUCCCUAUACCUCCCCCUCCUGAGAAGACCCAUGUGAAAUUGUGCAAAACAUUUCCAUAAAAGUCAUGUUGAAAAAAAAAAAAAAAUAGAGAUUUCCCUCCCCGUUAAAAAAAUAAAAAACAAAAAACCCUCAAGAAAAUUUUUUUUUAAUUGCUUCACUGACUCUACAAAGUUGUAUAGAUGGAACUAUCCUGUACUAACACCCACAGUUACUUUACACAAUUUGGAAGUUGUAGAUGUCAACAGCCUAAGGUAUAUUGGAUAAACAGGAUGGUCACAACUAACCCAAGUUAGCAUACUUUGUUUUGGGUCCUUAUCAAGUCCCAACUCUCCCCUUGUUAAUCGCCCUCCUUGUGGUAUUAAAAAAAAAACUUUGCCCCUUGACCUGGAAAAAACAAAUAAAUAAAUUGCUUCAGUCAGUAUUCAAAUACAAUCAGUUCUUUCUCUGUGUAUGGAUAGCACUUUUUUUGUUUCUUUUAUUUAUUUUAAAGCUUUUUUUUCCCCCCUGAGGCAAUUGGGAUUAAAUGACUUGCCCAGGGUCACACAGCUAGGAAGUGCUAAAUGUUGGGUGUCAGAUUUGAACUCAGGUCCUCCUGACUUCAGGACAGGACUGUAUCACCUAGCUGCCCCAAGCUUUUUAUUUUUAAAAUAUAUGCAAGGAUGAUUUUUCAACAUUGACCGCUGCAUAGCCUUGUAUUUGAGAUUUUCCUCUCCUUCCUCCCACCUCCACCCAAGAUGGCAAGCAAUCCAAUAUGUUAUACAUGCUAAAAUGUUAAAUCCAAUAUAUAUAGACAUAUUUAUACAAUUCUCUUACUGCACAAGAAAAAUCAGAUCAAAAAGGAAAAGUAAAUGAUUAAGAAAACAAAAUGCAAGCAAACAACAAAAAAAGAGUGAUAAUUUUAUGUUGUGAUCCACACUUGGUUGCCACAGUCCAGUCCUCUCUCUGGAUGUAGAUGGCUCUCUUCCUCACAACAUCAUUGGAACUGAUAUCAAUCAUCUCAUUGUUGGAAAGAGUCACGUUCAUCAGAACUGAUCAUUGCAUAAUCUUGUUGUUGUUGUGUGCAAUGAUCUGGUUCUGCUCAUUUCACUCAGCAUCUGUUCAUAUAAGUCUCUCCAGGCCACUGAAUUCAUCCUGCUGAUUAUUUCUUAGGGAACAAUAAUAUUCCAUGACAUUCAUAUACCAUAAUCCAUUCAGCCAUUCUCCAAUUGAUCAGCAUCCAUUCAGUUUCCAGUUUCUAGCCUCUACAAAAAGGGCAGCCACAAACAUUUUUGCACAUAUGGAUCCCUUUCCUUCCUUUAAGAAACACUGCUGGAUCAAAGGGUAUGCACAGUUUGAUAACCUUUUGAACAAAGUUCCAAAUUGCUCUCCAGAAUGGCUGGAUGUAUUCACAACUCCACCAACAAUGUAUUAGUGUCCCAGUUUUCCUACAUACCCUCCAAUAUUUGUCAUCUUUUCCUGAGAUCUUGGCCAAUCUGAGAAGUAUGUAGUGGUAUCUCAGAGUUGUCUUAAUUUGCAUUUCUCUGAUCAAUAGUGAUUUAGAGCACUUUUUCAUGACUAGAACUGGUUUUAAUGUCUUCAUCUGAAAAUUGUCUGAUGGUUAGGUAAUCCUAGCUCCAAUGCUCUCCAGAAUAUCAUAUUCUAUGUCCUCCUUUGAUCUGGGAGUUUUAGAAAUUAGCUAUAAUAUUCCUAAGAGUUUUCAUCUUGGGAUCUCUUUCAGGAGAUGAUCAGUGGAUUCUUUCCAUUUCUAUUUUGGUUCCAGAAUAUCAGGAGUUUUUCUUAAUAAUAUCUCAAAAGAUGAUGUCUUAUCUUUUUUUAAUCAUGGCUUUCAGGUAGACCAAUAAUUUUUAUAUUAUCUCUCCUGGAUCUAUUUCCUUAGUUUUUUUCUAAUGAGAUAGUUCACUUUUUUUUUUUUUACUCUUUUGGAUUUGUUUUAUAUGGUCAACCCUAGGACAUAGAAAGUAGAAAAAAGCAACAGAACCUGAGAGAUCCAAUGUAUGAUACUAUAUAUAAAUCUGGGGCUCUGACACAGUAUGACAGUAGGCAAGUCAUCUUCAGUUUUUUUGUAAAACGAAGAUAGUAACAGCACUAUUAAAGAUAAUGGAAAAUGUUUUAAGUGAUAGGAUAAUGAAUACAUAUAUACAGAAGGAAGUGAUCUCCAAGAAUCAGAAUGGGUUCAUUAUGAACAAGCCAUGAUAGGUUACUGUCAUUUUUUUGUUUGUUUGAACAACUAGAAAAUAGGUAUAUCCAGGGAAAGCUAUGAAUGUAGCAUUAUCAAAUAUACUCACUGCUUAUCACAAUGUCUGGCAAAUACUAAGCUCUUAAUAAGAGCCAGUUGAUUGACUGAUCUAAAUUUUAUCAAAAUUUUUUGACAGUAUUCCCAUGAUGCCUUUUUGGGGAUAUAUAGAAAUGUGACUAGUGAUAAAAUUAGAUGACUAUAAAAUCAAAUGAUUAAUACACAUGCUUUGCUU
rnacentral:lncRNA from 1 species